rnacentral:rRNA from 1 species
UACGGGGGGGGCAAGCGUUGUUCGGAAUUACUGGGCGUAAAGGGCUCGUAGGCGGCCAACUAAGUCCGACGUGAAAUCCCCAGGCUCAACCUGGGAACUGCGUCGGAUACUGGAUGGCUUGAAUCCGGGAGAGGGAUGUGGAAUUCCAGGUGUAGCGGUGAAAUGCGUAGAUAUCUGGAGGAACACCGGUGGCGAAGGCGGCAUCCUGGACCGGUAUUGACGCUGAGGCGCGAAAGCUAGGGGAGCAAACGGG